GAUGAACGCUGGCGGCGUGCCUAAUACAUGCAAGUCGAGCGAACGGACGAGAAGCUUGCUUUUCUGAUGUUAGCGGCGGACGGGUGAGUAACACGUGGAUAACCUACCUAUAAGACUGGGAUAACUUCGGGAAACCGGAGCUAAUACCGGAUAAUAUUUUGAACCGCAUGGUUCAAAAGUGAAAGACGGUCUUGCUGUCACUUAUAGAUGGAUCCGCGCUGCAUUAGCUAGUUGGUAAGGUAACGGCUUACCAAGGCAACGAUGCAUAGCCGACCUGAGAGGGUGAUCGGCCACACUGGAACUGAGACACGGUCCAGACUCCUACGGGAGGCAGCAGUAGGGAAUCUUCCGCAAUGGGCGAAAGCCUGACGGAGCAACGCCGCGUGAGUGAUGAAGGUCUUCGGAUCGUAAAACUCUGUUAUUAGGGAAGAACAUAUGUGUAAGUAACUGUGCACAUCUUGAUGGCACCUAAUCAGAAAGCCACGGCUAACUACGUG
rnacentral:rRNA from 1 species